GUCUGGGUGGCUCAGUCGGUUGAGCAUCUGACUUCGGCUCAGGUCAUGAUCUCACAAUUUGUGGGUUCGAGCCCCGCAUCAGGCU
rnacentral:tRNA from 1 species